rnacentral:rRNA from 1 species
CAAUAGCGUAUAUUAAAGUUGUUGCAGUUAAAAAGCUCGUAGUUGGAUUUGUGGCGUACGGUGUGUUCCCGGCACUUGUUGUCUGAGUAACCUGCUGUUGCCAUCCUUGGGUGGAACCUGUGUGGCAUUAGGUUGUCGUGCAGGGGAUGCCCAUCAUUUACUGUGAAAAAAUUAGAGUGUUCAAAGCAGGCUUAUGCCGUUGAAUAUAUUAGCAUGGAAUAAUGAGAUAGGACUUUUUUGCUAUUUUGUUGGUUUGCGCAAAGAGGUAAUGAUUAAUAGGGACAGUUGGGGGUAUUCGUAUUCCAUUGUCAGAGGUGAAAUUCUUGGAUUUUUGGAAGACGAACUACUGCGAAAGCAUUUACCAAGGAUGUUUUCAUUAA